GACGAACGCUGGCGGCGUGCCUAACACAUGCAAGUCAACUUGACUGAAGGAGCAAUCUGACAGUAGAGUGGCGCAAGGGUGCGUAACGCGUAAGUAACUUGCCCAAGGUAAGGAAUAACGUCGAGAAAUCGGCGCUAAUACCUCAUAAUGCAGCGGAUCCGCAUGGAUAUGUUGUUAAAGGUUUACCGCCUUGGGAUAGGCUUGCGUCUGAUUAGCUAGUUGGUGUGGUAACGGCACACCAAGGCUACGAUCAGUAACUGGUCUGAGAGGAUGAUCAGUCACACUGGAACUGAGACACGGUCCAGACUCCUACGGGAGGCAGCAGUGAGGAAUAUUGGGCAAUGCUCGAAAGAGUGACCCAGCAACGCCGCGUGGAGGAUGAAGGUAUUCUAUAUCGUAAACUCCUGUGAGAGCAGACGAAAGACAGAUUAUUAAUCUGGAUGACUGUAUGCUCAGAGGAAGCCCGGCUAACUACG
rnacentral:rRNA from 1 species